GUGAAUCAUCGAAUUUUUGAACGCAAAUUGCGCCUUUUUCGGUAGGCAUGUCUGUUUGAGGGCACCAUUUAACAAAUCAUGUGCAGCGUUUUUUGUUGCACGCGUUGUUGAGGUUUCCAAGAUUUUUAAAUUUUUGGUGGCGCAUCAUGAACUGCGUGAAAGAUUUUUUCAGUUCGAGUGUAGUGAAAUCUUUGCUUUGGUUGUGAAAAUACAUAAUCGCGCACAGGGUGUGGCAAUUUCUUUUUAUCCUUCC
rnacentral:misc_RNA from 1 species